rnacentral:lncRNA from 1 species
AAUGUCAUAUUAAUUAUAUUUCACUACAUCUACUAUAACAUAGAAGCACCAAAGGGUUUGAAUCAGAGGAACACUUACUCAUCCAUUCUGGUUUGUGUAUGUGGUCUUUUAUAACAUCGUGAUCCUUGUAGCGACCAAACCAGAUCCUUUCGAUACCUCAACAACUUGAUUUUUGAGGAAGCGAUUUUACUUUACACCUUUCACUUGAAAAAAUCAAAGAAUGUGUUCCUACAAAUGAAGAAGGCGGAGUAAUAUAUCAGUAAUCACUUUUCUUAUGAUACUAAUACAUGUAAAAUAUAUUUUGAGCUAUAUAUGGAUUCAUUAUGCAAUGAAAUGGAAGAUCAGAAGAUAACUGAACAUAAAUGAUCACUACUUCGCAAUUUUUCAGUCUUGAGACUAUUCAUAAAAGGGAGGAAAUUCCUCACCCUAAUCCACUCUAAUGAUAGACCCACGAUUUUAAAAUAUCAAUGAACCAAAACGGUCCUAAAUCCAGUUUCUAAUGUAUGUUUUGAAUACAGUUCAUAAUGUAUGUUUUGGUCAAUAGAGCUUGUGACAGAAUCCCUCGAUUCCGAAGGGAAAUGGAUGAACUUAGCUCAUGUGAUUCUUAUAAGCUUCUCGAUUGAAAAUCCUACCGAAUCAACCUUAUCAGUAACGCUAUCACUUGAUUUAUGAAUUGUACGAAAGCUACUAUUCUAUUUUUAUGAACUGUUUGCAACAACUAUCAACAUGUGCUCUAACGAUGAUGUUGAAUCAGAAUUGGGGAUUCCCUAACUUCCAUUAAUAAUCGGUUCAUUAGAACUGUCUAUGAAUACUUGCCUGUUGACGAUGCAAUUGAAAUCAUUCGAGAUUCCUUGAGGAUUGGUGAUCAUACUCUGGUGUUUAUUAGGGGAUAAACUUUGUCAUUGUCGUAGGUUGGGAACAUAGGUUGGUGAUCAUGGUCAGAAGAAUCUUCCCUAGCUAUCCAGCUUUUGAAUAAGCUGAGGCUCCAGCUCGUAUAUCAUGCCUGUUGUAUAUAUAAUUCAGAAACUGCAAUCUCACGAUCACAAGACAUUCAUAAGGAAAUUGAAUAAAAAAUAUAUUCAUACGUACAUAAGUGCAGGGAAAAACACUGAC